UCCAAUUCCGAGCUUUUGGGUCAGGCUGUGCUGGUCAAAGUUUAUAGCAAUUCAGCAUCAUGUGAAAACACAGCUCUUGUUGGGCAAGACUGAACCUCAGGAUCUUAUACAACACCUUUGCUGUGAAAACCACUGAUUCCUGGACCAAAUAGCCACUCUUUCAUGCACUAAUGUAACAACUAACAAGUGACCAUUUGACUAUUCUACACACAGAAAUUCAUGAAGCCUCUGUGAAGACAUCAUUGAAAGCCAAGCAAUGAGCCUUGCUUGUAAUGAAGAACAACUGUCAGUUCCCUAAUGGCUCUUUCCUGCUUGGUCUGUAUCCUUCUGGCCACACACACUUCUGCUUCUCUGAUAUUGUGUUUUUCAAAAUAGCAUACUAGUAUGCAUUUUAGUCUCUUUUUUCUACAAAAUAUUGGACAAGACAUUAAAAU